rnacentral:rRNA from 1 species
ACGAACGCUGGCGGCAGGCCUAACACAUGCAAGUCGAACGCUCGCAGCAAUGCGGGAGUGGCGCACGGGUGAGUAACACGUGGGAAUAUACCUUUCGCUGGGGGAUAACUUCGGGAAACUGAAGCUAAUACCGCAUACGCCCUAUGGGGGAAAGAUUUAUCGGCGAGAGAUUAGCCCGCGUCCGAUUAGCUAGUUGGUGAGGUAACGGCUCACCAAGGCGACGAUCGGUAGCUGGUCUGAGAGGAUGAUCAGCCACACUGGGACUGAGACACGGCCCAGACUCCUACGGGAGGCAGCAGUGGGGAAUAUUGGACAAUGGGCGCAAGCCUGAUCCAGCAAUGCCGCGUGAGUGAUGAAGGCCUUAGGGUUGUAAAGCUCUUUCGCACGCGACGAUGAUGACGGUAGCGUGAGAAGAAGCCCCGGCUACCUUCGU